AUGUGCACCCUGGAGCGGCGCGGCCGGGUCUUCGUCCUCACCCUGACGGGCGAGGACCAGCACCGGCUGGGCCACCCGCUCAUCGCCGCCAUCCGCUCCGCGCUGGCCGAGGUCCUGGCCGCGGCCCAGGCCCAGCCGCAGGGCCCGGGGGCGGCCCUGGUGACGGUCGCCGAGGGCCGCUUCUUCUCCAACGGGCUCGACAUCGGGUGGGCGGGCACCUCCCGCGCGCGGCUCGGGGAGCUCGUCGACGCGCUCCGCCCCGUCGCCGCCGACCUGCUGGCCCUCCCCAUGCCCACCGUCGCCGCCGUCACGGGCCACGCCUCCGCCGCCGGCUUCCUCCUCGCGCUCUGCCACGACUACCGCGUCAUGCGCGCCGACCGCGGCGUGCUCUACAUGAGCGAGGUCGACAUCGGCCUCCCCCUCCCGCCCUACUUCGUGCACGUGCUCCGCGCCAAGAUCUCCCAGGCGCAGGCCCUGCGGGACGUGGUGCUGCGCGGGAAGAAGCUCCGGGCGCCCGAGGCCAGGGAGAUGGGCGUCGUCGACGUCGUCUGCCCCGGCGCCCCCGAGACCGCCGCCGAGGCCCUCAAGCUCGCCGAGCAGCUCGCCGCCAGGAAGUGGGACGGCGCCGUGUACGCGUCGAUUAGGAUGUCCAUGUUCCCCGAUGCGUGCAGGGCCGUCGGGAUCGCCGUGGAGAGCGACGAGGAGAAGAGCAGGCACUUCGCCUCCAGGCUCUGA
rnacentral:rRNA from 1 species